rnacentral:rRNA from 1 species
AUUGAACGCUGGCGGCAGGCCUAACACAUGCAAGUCGAACGAGUGGCGGACUGGUGAGUAAUGUCUGGGAAACUGCCCGAUGGAGGGGUAUAACUACUGGAAACGGUGGCUACUACCGCAUACCAUCGGAUGUGCCCAGAUGGGCUUAGCUAGUAGGUGGGGUACCGGGUCACCUAGGCGACGAUCCCUAGCUGGUCUGAGAGGAUGACCAGCCACACUGGAACUGAGACACGGUCCAGACUGCUACGGGAGGCAGCAGUGGGGAAUAUUGCACAAUGGGCUCAAGCCUGAUGCAGCAAUGCCGCGGGUAGGAAGAAGGGCUUCGGGUUGUAAAGUACUUUCAGCGGGGAGGCGUUACCCGCAGAAGAAGCACCGGCUAACACCGUGCCAGCAGCCGCGGUAAUUC